rnacentral:lncRNA from 1 species
AUGGAUCAGACACAAAUUGAGCCCAGCCUGUGCCUUGCAUCUGUAUUUACAGGUGGUGUGGCAGUGCCGAACUUCACUUCUCAGAGGUCCCCUGCCAGGAUGUCUGUGACGCUGCCUGCAGUGAACCUAGAGGACUGCUCCCCAUCCCUGAGCGUCAGCACCAUCCAGGGGGACCCUGGGUCCUCGGGGGCAGACACCUUCUGAGCCAGUGAGACCAGCAGGGCACAGUGAGAUUUCACUCUGGUCAGAACCGUCUCUCCGACUAUCUUGGUCUUUGAGCAUAUUCUGGAGAACAUUUCUAAUUUUUUAUUGAAAGUGAAAAACAUAAUUUGGGUUUUUAGGCAAAGUUUUUUGAAUGAAAUAAAUAUGAACCAUCGUGAGUCUGGCUGUGAGUUGUUUCUUAGGAGCCCAAGGUUGCAUGGGACAGUGGAAAGAGCAUGGCAUUUGUCAUCUAAGAAUUAUUUUACAGGUACAAUUAUCUGACUAUGCUCAUGCAAUUAUUCAGCUCAAGGUUAUUCAUUCCAACAUUUGUAGUAGUAGAAAAUAAGCAGAAGUAAUUAAUGCCUACCAGUAAAGGAUUAGUAAAAAAAGGAAUAGUAUUGUUGUACAAUGGAAUAGUAUGUGGUACAAAAAAGAAUAUUAAAAUGUGUAUACAUGGACAAAGAAUUCUCUCUAAGAUGCUGCUAGUUGAAAAAUCUGUGUGAAAAACUGUGUGAACUGCGCUACCAUUGUUUCAAGUGAGAUGGAACCCCACAUACAUGGUGUUCACACCCGUACAGUAUAUGCUUGCAUGCAUUGCUUCUAUUUGCAUUAAAUAACUGUAGAAAGAUAAACAAGCAACUGCUAGCUGCGUCUCCAGGAAGAGGAACUGAUGGUGAAGUCAUAGGAGUCAAGGAUACCUGUGUUUCCUAAGUUUGAACUCCAUUCAUGAUAGGAAAUCAUUAUGAAUGAGGUUAAUUCUUUAUAUGCUUUUGUACCAUCAACUUUUAUUUUUCUUUAUAAACUUGUGAAACAACAUAAAUACAUAAAAUGAAGGAAAAAUAAAAAGCAUGCCUUAAAGAAAACAAACAAAAGCAUGGCUUUUAUAACCAGGCGCAUGCAGAUUCUCUCCUAGCUUCUACACCUACUUGCUCUGUGAUGGGCAAACAAGCCCCUCCUUGUCAGCUGUCUUGGGUUAAUGGGGUUAAUAAUUGUUUUUGCAGAGAAACAGAAAUCAGUGGUAAUGUGUUUGCAAGGAGUGCUGUGAGUGGGGUGAGGGUGAGGUGUGGGUGUGUGCAGCCUGGAGCUUAGCAGUAGGGAAGUGUUCAGUAAACAGUGCUGACACUCGUGUCUUGAGGGGUUUCUGCAUCAUGUGUGCAGAAUGCAUGACACAAAUGGCAGCCUGGCACUAGCAAAGACGAAAAGCGUCUUCUUCCUGAAAUACUGUUUCCUGUCAUCAUUGAAGUUCAUACACACAGUAAUGACAGUCAUCUGUGACUUUUCUCAGCUUUCUUGCUUUACUUUAGUGGGACUCAACCCUAGCUGCACAUGAUAACCUCUGGAAGCUUUAAAACAUCCUAAUGCCUGUGCCACAUAACCAGGGCUCCUAAUUUCAUGGAUCUUGAGUGGGGUCUAGACCAUGGUAUUAAAAACGAGAAGAGGGCCAGGCAUUUAGCUCAGUGGUUCCGCCACCUGCAUAAAAAUAAAUAAAUAAAUAAAUAAAUAAAAAUGAGAAGAGACCUUUCUAGGUGACUUCACUGUGCACUCAAGGUUAAGAACCACCGAAGAGACUGUAGGGUGCCUUACACUUCUCAUAGAGCCCGUGGCUUGCAGAUGGAAACCCAUGGAAAGUCAGCAAUGUGCAACCUCCCACCUGCAUCUCCUCUGCUGUCACAGCUCCUCAAGCUUGUCUCGGUUUCAUUUGAGAGCAUAUAUUCUUUGUGUGACACCUAAAAUAGCUUCAGCUUAUAAUAGUCUAUUCUACACAAGCGGAAGAAGAAUGCUGCUCUGUGUGUCCUGAUUGUUUUGGAUGAUCACUGACAACUCUCCAGAGGGUGAAGGCUAGGGAAUCCUGCCUAAAUGCUGCUUUAUUGGAAA